CCUUAUAUUCCCUUUCACUAUUAUUUAUAUUCCCCACAUGAACGAGAACAUAUAAUGUUUGUCCUUCUCCGACUGACUUACUUCACUCAGCAUUAUGCUCUUGGAUUAAGUGAGUUAAUGUUUAUUCAGGAAAUCCAAAUGAAAUAAGACCAUAACUUUCUUUAAUUUUAUAGUACUUACCUAAUCUUAAAGCCCAGGGUAUAUACUAGCAUCAUAAAAGUAAAUCAGGUGGAAUUCUCCCUUGUUCAAUUUUCUGAAAUAAUUUGUAUAGAGAUAUUCUUGGUUCUUUGUCUAUAAAACUCUGGAUCCUUUCCUUAGGGGUGAUAGUGAUGAUGAUUAUUCUGUCUUCUUGAAACCAGUGUUCCUAUUGAAAAGAUGGAUACCAAUUUAAUUCUUAUUCUUUUAUAGGUUAUUUUUUCUCUCUGAAAGUUUUGAUGUACUUAAAUUUUACCAUUGAUAUGUCUAAUGAUGAUUUAUUAAUUUUUGUAUUUUUAACCUAUGUAGUCCAGCAUUCUACAUAAAUUGUCCAGUUCUUCGUUAACUACUUGUUUCUACUUCAGGCUUACAACAACUUGCUAUAUUUCCUUGAAGAUAUAAUGUUUAUUUUAAAUUCUUGUUCACUUGCUACACUAAUUCUGCCCAUUCCAACAUAAUGUACUCAAUAUGUUAAACCUUUUCCACUAGUGAUCAUUCUCUUUGGAUAUCUGAUAAUUUUCCCCCGAUAGUCCUUAAAACUGUCAACUAUGUAGGCAAGUAAUAUAAACUCCAGGAAGAAAUGGGAUCCUUGUGUCCCUGCUGGUGAACUAGAGGGAGGAAAGCCCUGCUUCAGGGCACAAAGCCUCUGGCAGGACAAUCUGGGCCCAACCCAGCCAGGAGACCCUACCCCUAGAGGAAUCUACCUGGGUACUUCUCUUUUUAAGAGUUGCUUUUUCCCUCGGCUAAUUGUCCAGCCCACUCCCCUCUAUGACUGGGGAGGAGAGAAGGCCACUCUAGGGGAGACUAACAACCACCUUUACCUUCACACUAGCCUAGUCUGGCUUGCCUCUCUCCUAAUGGUAACCUCCCUCCUCUGGCUGGCACUGGGUGGGGGUGUGCUGUUUUCACACCUUGCGGCAAAGCAGAAAGCAAUUAUCCAGCCAGGGCAACAAUGGGGAUAGAACGUGACUCAUCUGAAAGUAGCAUCAGUAGCAUCUGACUUUCUAACUAUCAUUUCCAACUUCUCCCCCAGUGACAUCCAAUUUCCUGAUGUCUCCCCCAGAAUUUCUUGGACCCAGUCACCUCCCCCUGGCUUCUCCACCAUCUCCAAGUUGGUUUUGGAUAGGAGGCCAGCAUUUAUCCUGCUUCAUCAUUUCUUCUGGGAGUGGAAUGAUUUCUCUCCAUAUGCUGAUUCAGUGUUCCUACUCUAGUUCUAAUCCAUCUCCAUACUUUCACCACCUUACUUCAUGACUGAAUUACUUUAAGCAAAAUGAAACCAAAAAAGAAUUAUUUCCCAGAAUUAGAAACCAAACAGGAUCGUAUGAAUAAUCUAUAAAGAUGACAACCUGGAGUGGAAGGCCAAGUAGGCCCUGAGGCCUGUAGACACUCAUCAGAAGAGCCUUUCUCAUCCUUUCUAUUGCAACACAGUCCCCUGAGCAGUUUCCCUCCCUCCAGUUCUUCCUACCUCCCUCCUUUCAGGUCUUUCUUUCAGGAAUCUCAAGUGCUCUCCAUUGUCUUGGGAUUAGGUAAAGAUGUAUGUCACCUCCUUUGCAUUCUGACCCAUCUUUCCCCUGGAAAACAUACAUUGAUUUGGUUAUUUCAAAGUCUGUCCACUCUGUACCAACUAGAUGGUCAGGUCUGUAAGAGACGAUCUUCCUCUGCAGUUGUCCAGUAUGUUGGAUGACAGAAUCACAAUCUAAGAACAUCUCAAUAAACCAGAAUGAUGAUGGACUGACUUUUGCUUUCUUCAAGAUGGAAAAUAAAACCAAUGGAAAAUCAGGAGCCCCAUCUGGUAGUGGCGCCUACCAUGAACAUGCCUGUCAUCUCUGAUACCACCAUCAUCUCAGCUAUGUUAGGCCCUUGCCCGAAACCCUCUUCAAUGUGGGCCUUCUGUUUUAAUUGGGAACCCUUCUCUGAAACCCUAAGGUUGUUACAUUCCCUUGCAUCCCAUCCUAGGGAACUACCCCCACAGGCUGUGAAGGAAGCCUUGAAUUCUUUAAAUUCUGUGGCACAUUCCAGACUCUUCCAACCUUACAUCAAAAUCCCUGCUUUUUUAAUAGCCACAUGACCUGCCCAAAGCAUUACCUACCCCUCCUCAUUGCUGCCAGCCAGUAACCUACCACUUACUCUCAUUUCUCCUGGUUUCCCUAUAAGUACAUUAAUAUGCUCAAGCUUCCCUCCUCUGCCCCCACCCUGGUGAGCAACCCUGGGUAUGACCCAAUGCCUCAUUUUCUCUGAGAUACAAGCUUCUUGAUCAAUGCAAAUUUUGCCCACUCCUAUUAGCUACACAAUGGUUGGCUCAGACCAUCCAGGGAGAUGGUUUCUUGCCAAUAUCACUGGUGGCCUUGACUAUGGUCAUGUUUCAGCCCUAAUCUUGCUUGACUGCAGCCUUUGAUACUUUAUCUCUCCUUCUUGAAGCUUGAUCUUUCUUUGUUCUCUGGGACACCACUCAUUGGUGGUUUUUAAUCCUCUCCAGUCUGCUCUCCUCCGCCAACCAUCAAAGAGGAAUUUUCCUCAAAUCCAAACUCAGCCUUGCCCCUCUCUGAUUCCUUCAUCCUGACCUCCCAAGCUCCCCACCAUGGUGAAUGACAUCAGAUUCAGAGGCCUCUGCCUUGUGGAUUCUUUCUGAGUCAUUGCUCUUCCAUAAGCUCCAUGUUCAAAUGGUCACCAAGAGCUAGCAAUUCCACCUUCAUCCCCUCUCUGACAUGGGCCUCUCUCUCCAUGCCCACUGUCACUGCAUUGAUCAGGCCCCCAUCCUUGCCAAGCUGAACCACUGCUGUGACUUCACACGUGGUUUCUCUGCCUCUAGUCUUAUGUUCUCCCAACCCAUUCUCUGGCAUGCAGGCAAAGGGAUCUUUCUUGAAUAAAAAUCUAUGUCAGUCCCCUGUUUAAGGCCACCCACUAACUUUAAAAUCAAAUCUAAAUUCCUUGGCAUGGUGCAAAGACCUGCAGGACUGGGCAUUCUUAGUCUUGAAGGCCUCAAGGUUCUCUGACUCAUUUCACCCCUCAAGAAUCAGAGGGCCCCACUUCUAAGACACUCCCUGGCUAGAAGCUCUUCCUUCAUGUUCCAGGAGGCCACCUGGGCUCACAACUUUCUAGUACUUCUGAUAGUGUGUUAGAUUUUCUGCCCCACAAGGCUAUAAACUCCUUAUCUUUUGCUUCUGUGUUUUCCCAUGCAUAUUACAGUGCCUGAGCCCUAGAAAAUUGCUCUGGGAAUAUCAAGGAGAUAGGUAGAUGGGUGAAUGAAUGUUCUAUCCUGCCUCAAGUAUAUUAUACUAUGGCUAGUUCUUGGUGCCAAACUGGAAAGGUUUGGAUAAUGUCAACCAGUACAAUGAAGUGACUUAAAACUAUGUCACUUGACAAAUUUAAAAGGGAUAGGGAGUAGGGUAAGGGAAAGGGACCUAUGUUUAUUGGGUAGUUACUCAUGGCUUCCUAGUAGGCAUUAAAAAAAUGUUAUCUCUUUCAAAUCCAUAAUAAUAAUCUGAAAUCAAUAUUAUCUUUAUUUUAUAGAUCAAGAAAUAAGGCAUAGAAAGAUUAACUUGGCUGAGGCUACCCAAAUAAGUAACAAAGCUUAGAUUUAAACAUGGGUCUCUGUCUAACUCCAAACCCCAUGCUCUCUCCAUGACAUUUUCACCCAAGGACUGACUACUGGUAACAGUGGAGGUCAAACUGCAGGGGGAGGAUGACUACCAUCUUGGUCCUGGUGAGAGAUGCCAACGUGGAGAUGGUGAGGUGGCGUGGAUUUUAGAGAAUUUUCCUCCUGUGAGAAACAUUACACAGUCUGAUGUCCAGAUGAGACAAGAAGAGUGAGUGUGAUUUCUUUCUUCUUUUUUUUAAAAAAAGAUUAGAUUUAUUUAUGAAAGAUAUAUAGAGAGAGGCAGAGACACAGGCAGAGGGAGAAGUAGGUUCCAUGCAGGAAGUCUGAUGUGGGACUCGAUCCUGGGACUCCGGGAUCACACCCUGAACUAAAGGAAGAUGCUCAACUGCUGAGCUACCCAAGCAUCCCGUGAGUGUGAUUUCUGGAGCUAGUGGAUAGACUAAAGUGUCACUGCAGAGAGAGAUUUGUUUUCCAUGACUUUUAGAAGGAUGUGACAGGGAGGCAGUUUCCUGCUCUCUGUAAGGAAGGGCUUUCCAGCCAGGAUGAAAGCAGCUACUUGCAGAAGUGCAGAAGCUCUUCUUGCCCCUUGGCAGGGGUGGUGGACAGUGAGGUACAAGCAUCAACAAGAGAUGACUGAACUGUAAAAUCUCAACAGACACAGCCUUCCCUGCAAGUCCAUGAUCUAAUUCACUCCAACAGGUGUUGAACAGGCGACAAAAACAAUGCUUCUUCUCUAGCCUUGCCUCAAUCUACAUAAAGAUGAGGAAACCAAAGUCCCAGAAGCUAAAGAGAGUGCUGACUAUAGGGCUGCUCCAUUACUCCAGAGCCCAAGUCCAGACCCUGUCUCCCCACAACUCCACCUGAACCUCGGCCCCCAAAGAACCUGAAGACUAGAAACUAAACUGGAAGAGAAAGCACGAAGAACAGACACCAUAUUGCCCUCAGCAAGCACCUACCCAGGCUAGCAAUUGGCAUUUCUCUGCAGAUAUAGAGAGAUCAUGCAAACUCCCCUCAGUAGCUGUUAUGGUCUGAAUCCACUUGGUUAUUGCACUGAGUUCUUUGUGAGGGUAAUAGCUCUGUUUUCACUUAAGUCUGCCUGACAACUUGCUCUUUCAAAUGUAAGAAAAAAAUUAAACACUAUAAGUUUUGUACCUUCAAAGUGCCUCCUUCCCAGAAAUGGUAGUUAAGGGGGAUGGGUCCCAUGAGUUGGGGCUCAAUAGCAUAUUUUUUCUGUCCCCAGGGGCAUGUUUCAGGCUCUUGUGCCUGAAUGUUUUCCAAACUAGAGGAAACAGCGGUUUUGGGGCAACAGGGGUAUGAAACCACCACAUCUUACACAACCAGCCCAAACCAGUUAGUGUGGAAAAUUGCCUAGAGCCUGGCCUCCUGCUGUCCUGGCACUUGCUUUCUUAGGAUCCAGGAGCAGAACAAACAGUCAUGAGCUCAGGGAUCCUCUCUGGGCAGGGCAGGAAGCCUGGGGGUCAAGCUAUUUGGGGGAGUGCCCCCUCAAGUGAAGCCCAGACCAUCACAGGCUUCUGUUGCCAGAGGAAGCCUGUACCCACGGCUUUCAGGGUGUCUGUCCAGCUUUCCACACCACCAGAGAAAAUGACAGCAAAGUUUGCUGGAACUGGACUCUUGAUCCUGGAGGACCGGGUACAGGAAAUCAGUGUCUGCUCCUCGGUGCUGACAGUGUACUUUUGAAAUGGACCUCUGCCUCUCUCCAUCUUUUUUGCACAAUUAUGUUUUUAAGCUAAAUUUAAAACAUCGAGGAGGAGGAGUGGGAGGGCUCUCUAUUGGUAAGAUAAGGAGAGUGUCUUAGAUGUUCCUUGUCCUUUGCAAAGCUUAUUCACAAUAUCUCAUCACUACAAUGAAAUACCUGAUGUUGGUUAUGGGCUUGACCCAUAUCAGAGUAGUGACCAUUUUUUAAAGCAUGGGUACAGUAGACCCUCUUAUCCCAGGCCCCAACUCCCACUACUACCCCCUACAAUUGAGAUGCGCUCUACUGAAGUCCCAACUAUCAGUCCUGUGUUAUCCUAGUCGUGCCAUGAAGGAGGUGGGUUAAGCUUCAGUUCCAUCCACAGAAAUUGGCUUGCCAGCUGAACAUGAAUGGAAUUCACUGAGAGGAAAUCAGGCAGGUCUCAGCACUGACUAGAAGGCACAGAGGAAAGGCAGCAAGGUCAUGUUGCAAGGAGAAUCCUGUCUGGACCCUCUGAGGCCACCUCCACUGUCUAUGUCACUGGGACUCCAUUGCCUCUACUGGAAGGACUCUCAACUGGGGGGCGGCAUCCACAUUAUUCUCAGGGUACAAAGACCUAGGCAGGAGCGUCUCUCUCCCUAGCUGCCAGGGGCUGAUCACAAUGCAUAGCUUUUUCAGUUUCCCAGUUGGAGACACAUACCUUCCCUUCCACAGAGGCUCACACAAUGGAGGAUUUCCCAAAAGAAGAAGGUAGUUCACAGGUUGCACAGCCAAAAGGAAGAAGAAAAGAAGAAGAAGGAGAAGACAUCUACAUAGUAGGACAGCUGUCAUUCCCAUUUCACAAAUGAGGAAACCAAGGCUCGCAGCCUCAUUACUUUAAAUGACUAGCUCAUUGUCACGUAGCCAGUUAGAAAUGUCAAGCCUCUUAAGGGUGACUGUGUUUGCUCACAAAUGAGGACAUACUGUCUGGAGAGAGGAAGCUUUAGUUUGCAGGCUUGCUUUGAUAAAUCCUACCCACCUUUUGAAUCUGACAACAGUGCUCUGUAGUUGAGAAAAUCCCAUACAAAGGCAGUACUUCAGUGCGGGCAAAUAGUUCAGUACGGCCCAGGCCCAGGUUUUAAGCCUUCCUCUCUCUCUCUCUCUCUCUCCCUACAUAUUUCUGUGAUCUUUCUCUAUCUCCUUCUGGCCCUAUUGGCAAAAUACCCACAGCAGGACAAGCUCAGGGAACAUCAGUUCAUUCUGGAACUUGGAGUACAAUGUGAAACAGAGCAGUGGAUCCAGUGGUCUGGAUCUCAGGAAUCUUGUGAUACUGUGUCUGUCUGGGCUUUAUUCUGAGGUCAUUGGGAGCCUCAGCAGGAGAGAGACCUGAAAAAGUUUUAGAAACAGGGGAGUGAGUAGGAAAGAAUAAAGAGUGGGUAUGGAGAGGCAAUUAGUAGGCUGAUAUGGUAGACAGGUGGUCAGAAUGGAGAUGGAGAUGUGGGGGGAUUCAAGAAAUAUUAAACAGAUGGAAUCAAAAGGUCUUGGUGAUUAUGUAAACACCGUGUGGGUGGGGAGCGAGCAAAAGGGAAAAGCCAAAUUGCUCAGGCAACUGGGUGGUCGGUGGGGCCAUUCUGCAAGAGAGAGAACACUGGUGGAUGAGCAGGCAAAAGACAUGAGACUCCAGGGGUUGAAGAUCCAGGCAGGAGGUUUUGAAGCUGAAAGGUCAAAUAUAGCCUCUUGGUUGGUCAGUGUGGAUCACAACCCUUUCCACCUACCUGGUCCUGAUCUGAAGGCUGCGACCAAUCAGCUUUGGCACCCCUCACUGGGCACUGAAAGGCAAGUUAAUCAAGCAAAGUUCAAGUCCCUUCCAGUAGCAGCUUGAUGCACAGAGACUGGGGCUCUCCUGUCAGCUCUACAGCAAACUAGUUUAGUGACCUUGAGCAAAUCAUUUGUCUCCCUUAGGUCUUGGUUUCCUGGCCAUCACUAACACUCCAGGGUUUAUGGAUGAAUAUUUGAGGAGGUGAAGUGCUAUGUAAAUGUUUACUGCUAAUAACAAAUCGUCCACAGAAUGUCUGUGUAUCGCCUGGGCAACCCAACGGCUUUAAAACUCUUAAGUGGCUCUUGUUCUGAUUCAUCACAUUCUAUGCAUUUAACUUCCAGAACAAAUUUAGCCCUCAAAAUAUCUUGGUACAUUUUCUACCCACCCCUUAACAUUUAACUCCUCCAUCUUCCAUACCACUUCACCAUUUCUACAUCACCUGUUCCCCCAGCACACUCUCAUCCUUUUCCUUUUCACACAAGGAGCCCAGCCCCACCCACCCUUCCUCCAGAGAAGACAAAAGCCACCAGGGACACUACUUCAGUGGGUCUACACCAACCACCUCCAGAAAGAAAAACCAGCAGGGCAUCUAAACAAAAAGGAAGGGUGCCUGGGUGGCUCAGUUGGUUAAGCAUCUGGCUUUGGCUUGGGUCAUGAUCUCAGGAUCCUGCAUUGGGCUCCCUACUCAGCGGGGAGCCUCCUUUUCCCUCUCCCUCUACCUACAGCUCCCCUUGCUUAUGCUCUCUCUCUACCUCUCUCAAACAAAAGUCUUUUUUAAAAGUAAACAAAAGAGAGCAUGGGCAGAGGACAAACCUGGAAGUUAGGGCCCAGUGAAGGGAAGGGAGAGGGAGUUAUUUAUUUUUAGUAUGCUCCAUGCCCAGCAUGGAGCCCAGCACGGGGUUUGAACCCCAUGACUCUGAGAUCAAGACCUGAACUGAGAUCAGGAGUCUGAUGCUUAACUGAUUAGGCCAUGCAGGUGCCCCAGGGAGUUAGAUUUAAACUUGACAAAUUAGAGUACACUUCUCCACACUCACUACACACAUACACACACACACACUGUGAGCUUAAAGUGGCAGGAUCUGGAGAAGGUCUCCACAGGAUACCAAUUUCAGCAGACGUUCCAAGCUGUUCUGGUCACUGGAUAGAGCACUGGCAUCACCAGCAGUGACCCUGGAUUGGCCUGGAGUUCCAGUUCUUCCUAUUGCUCAUUUGGACCAGCAGCUCAUCAAGGAACCAAGGCUGUCAGAAGUAUCUGUCUUAACCACACUCAGUUCACACCACCUUUUUAAAGCAACACUGCCUCUGUGGCAUCCAGCACUGCCAACAUCUUAAACACAGGGUCAUAGAAAGAGCCAGGAAGAAAGAAGUUUAACAACCCCUUCAUUCACUGAUGGCCAGAUCUGAUGUACUCUGGUAAAAUUAUUGUCUCUCUGUACUUUUUGAAUGUCCUAUGAAACUUGAAAGCAGAAAGAAAGGUCUGUUUAAGAAGACUUGAAGAGAAGACAGGCACCAUGGGAUGGAUAAUACAAUUCUACAAACAUUGAUUGAAUACCUUCUUCUAUGUCAGGCUCUCACCAUAUGGCCAGAGUUGGUAUUAAGUCUGGGCCCAUGUUGCUACCUUGGAGGCAUCUGAUGGCAGAAAAACUAAAUCCCACUAGACUUGGAGACCCUGGGAGAGAUGUUGAGACCUCUUUGGAUCCAAUUAUAAUGCUUCUGAUUCCACCUGCAGAUGCUCUUUCUCCUCUAAUGGCUGACACCAUUGGCUCUGGUUAUCUAUACUCAACAGCCAUUUCCUCCUUUCUGAAGAUUUGACAAGGUCCCAAACAGUCAGGCAUCUCCUCCAACAUCAGGAGCAGGUGGAAAGGUUGUCAGUUAUGAUGGAAAGCAUGGGUGUUGUGGCUGCAGCUACCCCAAGACCUCUGCUCCUCAAGGAAGCUGGCCUCUGACUACUAUGUGCUCGCAGGGCAGUGCGCUGAAGUGGCAAAGACUAUCAGAAUGUGACCUCUGGGAUCCCUGGGUGGCGCAGCGGUUUGGCGCCUGCCUUUGGCCCAGGGCGCGAUCCUGGAGACCCGGGAUCGAAUCCCACAUCAGGCUCCCAGUGCAUGGAGCCUGCUUCUCCCUCUGCCUGUGUCUCUGCCUCUCUCUCUCUCUCUCUCUCUGUGACUAUCAUAAAUAAAAAAAAAAAAAAAAAAGAAUGUGACCUCUGAGGUCACUC